rnacentral:misc_RNA from 1 species
AACGCACCUUGCGCUCCUUGGUAUUCCGAGGAGCAUGCCUGUUUGAGUGUCAUUAAAUUCUCAACCUUCCAGCUUUUUUUUAUAAGCUUGGUUAGGCUUGGAUGUGGGAGUUGCGGGCUUCAUCAAUAAUGAGGUCGGCUUUCCUUAAAUGCAUUAGCGGAACUUUUGUGGACCAUCUAUUGGUGUGAUAAUUAUCUACGCCGUGGAUGUGAAACAGCUUUAUGAAGUUCAGCUUCGAACCGUCCAUUCACUUGGACAAUUUUGACAAUUUGACCUCAAAUCAGGUAGGACUACCCGCUGAACUUAA